rnacentral:lncRNA from 1 species
AUGCUCACCAACAUAAGCUCUGUGCUUUCCUUGUCUGUUUCAAAGCAAAAGCUCACUCUGCAAACAGAAGGGUACAGGAAAGGCAGGCACCAUUUGGAAAGGUUGAAAUUAAGACGAGUGAAGACUUUGAAGACAGAAGACCUCAUGAUGUUCUAUUCAAGCUUCAGGCCCUAGUGAAGCAAAAGAUUUGCCCUUGGAGUCAUUGCUCAAAAUUCCCUCCCCCACUUCCUGACAUAUCAGAGGUGCCAGAGAUGAAGUUUUCAGGCUGUCCAUGCCUUGGUGUUUUAGGUGUAAGCAUACCUUUGCUGGGGAGGGAAGCAACAGGAAUAACUGUACUUAAAAGUGACUGUUUUCAAACCAGGUGAAUUCUGUGUUGUGAGAGGAAAAACAUUGAUCUGAGUCUUCAGCCUGCAUCUCUGUCAUCUUGAGACUUUAGUAAAUAUAAGAAAAAGUCUUCCAAAAUAUGUAGGUUCAGACUACCUGUGUUACUAUUGCUA